UAUCUAUGUAUAUGUGUGUAUGUAUAUGUACCAAUAGUGCGACACCAAACGGAAAAAAGGAUUAAGUUGACAAUCGAGAAAACGCAGUGACGAGUUACGACAGGUUCAUUUAUUUAAUUAUCGAGAGUUUAUUUUUUAUUGAACAGCUUAGUGUUUCAGAUUCUUAAUACUGAUUUUUAUUAUAAACUUUUACCAAUGGCGAGUAAUAGUAAAACAUCUAAGUCCAAAUAUUACUUAGUUUUAUUUUUGGCUAAUAAUAAAAACAACCAAGAAGUAGAUAUUGUCCCCGCGAGUUGGAUAUUUCAUAAUAAUAAAAAAGAUACGGUUCGGUGUAAAUUUAUGCCUGGUCCAUAUGAUAAAUCAAAACAAAACGAGCUAAAGUCAAUGGUUCAAAAUUGUGUGGGCCCUAACGAAAGCUGGCCUGAUUACGCUGUUGAAAUACGUGGAAGAGCAAACAGCUACGAACAAGCGGAAGAACGGUUAAGUAUAUUAAAAUCAGAACCUUAUGCCUUCCCUCGCGGUUUUGGAAAUACCGAAAUAAUACCGGAAUUAUACGGUAUAAAUACUGCAUAAAUAUGGUAUUACUCGAGUUAUUUUAGCCAGUUUUUUUGCCGCAUUAUUACCAAAAAUUUACGAAAUAAAUUCCUAAUAUUUACGGUAAUAAAACAGAAAAAAUACGGUAUUUUCACAGAAUUAAAACAGUAAUUAUACAGCAUAUUUAUAGUAUAUUUUCGGCAUUUUUGCAGCAUCAAACCGUUCUACCCGUAAAAAAAUUUAUAUAUAAUUAUAUAAAAUUUUAUUCAGUUAUAUAUAAUUUUAUGUAAUUAUAUAGAACCUUAUAAAGUUAUAUAUUAAAUAACUGUCAUGAAAAAAAAAUGAAAACACCCGUUAACUCGUGGACUCGAUCCCGAGACCUAUUUGUUCAAAGUCUGAUCUGGUAGCCAUGAUGCCAAAUCACUUACUUGAAAUAUGUUACUAAUUGUAUUCAGAUGGAUACAAACAAACUUAAGAAAAUUGAAAACAUCAAUUUUCACAGAUAGUUAUUUUCACUUACAUGUUUUUGUUUGAGUAAGAAUUGUGUGAACCAAUAAAAUAAAAUAAAAAAUAUUACAUUUUGCACAUUUUCGAUGAUUUUAAAUGCAGAAGCGAACAAAAAAUAAAACCAUAUUUUUUUACAAUUUUCUAUUUUAUCAGCGUAAAUCUGGCGAAAUUGCAGGAUACUGACGGUAUUAUUAUCACAAAAACAACGAUUUUAUUAUUACUACAUUAUCCUAUUAUAGUUUUUAUACAGUAUUUUAUUGGUAAAAGUUCGGCAUUUUUAUAGUAAUAUUACUGUAGUAAUCUGGUAACUCUACAGCAUAAGUGCAGUAAGUAUAUGGCAUAACUCCAGGAAAAAAACUGGCCAAUAUAACAAUUUUAAUACCAAAUUAUUACGGUAAAUUUACGGCAUGUGCAUAAAUCCCGAAAAUUUACGGCAUUUUUACGGCAUUCGCAAAACUGCGAGGGUUUACAACUGACAAUGAACAAUCUGCUAAGUCACAGGCCUUAAAAGAUGAAAAAUUGUUCAAAAUAAAAACAACAACAAACAACAACAAAUAACAACAAACAAAGAAGUUAAGCAAAAAAGCGAAGUUAUCAAAAGAGAUACAGCGGAAAAAAAAAUCUGGUUCUGAACGUUCUAAAUCUUCAGAACAAUCUCUUGAUAGCGACUCUCCAACACAAAAGCAACGAUUGAAGAAGUUGAGGGAAAAAAUUAGAGCACGCCAAGGGAAUAAUCGUAGUAACAAUUCCAAAUCAAAUGAUUCGGGAAGCAGCAACCGGAAUAAGAACUAUAGUUUUCAUGAUUCCUCUCAAGGAAAAAAAUCUGACAAAGCUGAUUCAAAAACCAGCGGUGGAAGUAAUAAUAAUACUCAUCUCUGUGAAUUAUCUGCUCUGGAGAAAAUAUAUUUCCAAAAUUUAAUCUCAUCAACUCCAAUAACUAACAACAAUUUGAACGAAAACUUAGCCGAUAAAGGUUUAUCGAAAGAUGGAAUCAUUAAAAAAUAUUUUGUGAGCUUAAGCAAGUAAAUAGGACAACUGACAAGUUUAUCAGUUCAGCAUGGUGCGGAUUUAAAUAAUAUUUCCGAAGAAAUAAAAGAUAUAAAGAAAAGGUUGAUGAAAAAGUGUUCAUGUGACGGUGGUUAUGACGGUUCCAGUGGGGAGAGAAGCGACAAUGACGAUAACGAGGAAGAUGAGGAAACCAAAAGUGCAGGAGAAAAAAUAAAAAAAUUCGACUAUCCGAUAAACAAGAAAGAAACGUUUGAAGAAUUUAAUAAACAACUUCACGAUAAACCCCAUGAACGUAAAAUUGUAAUCAAACGCAUUCACCAAUUAGUUAAUGCAAAAGAAACCUUAAACAAUAAUAUGGAAGUGGUUAAAAGAGCUUACAUUACACGAAGUGUCGUUAUUUCAUACGUUCCGUCUGCUGUUACAAUAAGUCGAACGAAGCCGAUAUUUAAAAAUACUGUUUUUUACAAAUGCAUUGAAGAGGUGAUGCGACUAAAGUUAAAAGAUAAUUCGGGGAAUGUUUUAACUGACUCCGACAUGUUAAAAGCGAUGGCUUCUGUACUUCGCAAUGUGCGAGACUGGGACGGCCACCGCUUAUUAAGGACACAAAAGGUUGAUUCACCUGCUCCUAAAAAUUAACCUUGAACAAGAUAUGCUCUUGUUAAUAAUAUGAUUAAAAUUGAAUACAGAGGCUCAAGUUGGGACACCCUUAAUGGGGCCACUUCUGGAUUUCCUGAUUGGGAUUAG